AGUGAACGCUGGCGGCGUGCCUAAUACAUGCAAGUCGAACGGAGUGGCGCACGGGUGUGUAAUAUAUAGCUAAACUGCCCUACACUAGAGGACAACAGUUGGAAACGACUGCUAAUACACUAUAGUGUAGGGUGAGGCGAUAUUGUAUCAGCUAGUUGGUGAGGUAAUGGCUCACCAAGGCGAUGACGGAUAACUGGUCUGAGAGGACGAUGAGCGGCACUGGAACUGAGACACGGUCAGGACACCUACGGUAGGGGGCAGAAGGCAGUAUUGGUCACGGGGGGAAAGCCGGAAGCAGCAACGGAGCGUGGAGGAUGGUACUUAGCGGAGCGUAAAUUCCUUUUGAUAGGGAAGCGGUACCUAACCAAAAAGCACCGGCUAACUCCGUGCCAGCAGCCGCGGUAAUAC
rnacentral:rRNA from 1 species